GACGAACGCUGGCGGCGUGCUUAACACAUGCAAGUCGAACGGUGACCCAGGGCUUGCCCUGGUGAUCAGUGGCGAACGGGUGAGUAACACGUGGGGCAACCUGCCCCUGACUUCGGGAUAACUCCUCGAAAGAGGAGCUAAUACCGGAUACGACCACUUCGGACAUCCGAUGGUGGUGGAAAGUUUUUCGGUCAGGGAUGGGCCCGCGGCCUAUCAGCUAGUUGGUGGGGUAAUGGCCUACCAAGGCGACGACGGGUAGCCGGCCUGAGAGGGCGACCGGCCACACUGGGACUGAGACACGGCCCAGACUCCUACGGGAGGCAGCAGUGGGGAAUAUUGCGCAAUGGGCGAAAGCCUGACGCAGCGACGCCGCGUGAGGGAUGAAGGCCUUCGGGUUGUAAACCGUACUUUCAGCAGGACGAAGCGAAAGUGACGGUACCUGCAGAAGAAGCACCGGCUAACUACGUGCCAGCAGCCGCGGUAAGU
rnacentral:rRNA from 1 species